rnacentral:lncRNA from 1 species
UUACAAUUAGGUGCUCUCACUGCCGUGGCCUGGGUUUGUUUCCCAGUCAGGGAACCACAUCACCUGUCUGUCAGUUGUCAUACUGACAUACUGUGGCAGCUGGGCAUUGCUGUGAUGCUGAAAGCUUUGCCACCAGUAUUUCAAAUACCAGCAGGGUCACCCAUGGUGGAUAGGUUUCAGUGGAGCUUCCAGACUAAGGCAGACAAGGAAGAAGGACCUGACCGCCCACUUCCAAAAAAAUUGGCCAUGAAAAACUCUCUGAAUAGCAGCAGAGCAUUGUCUGAUAACAGUGCUGGAAGGAGAGAGGAUGCCGCAAAAGACCAGCUAGACAUCUGGAACCUUUCUUCUGCAAACGAGAUCCAGUCUGAUCCCUUCUCAGGAGGGAAGAAAGCAGAGAGUCAUCCUAACAGAAUAUUCAGCAACAGCAAGCAAACUUCAGCCAAGAGAAACAUCUUAGAUUCUCCCAAUCUCUCCCUCCUUAUUCUCCACCCCACACCCCACCUUAGCCCCCACCUGCUAUGCUAACAGCAAGAAGACUGCCUGCUGUCUGCAGGCCAGGAAGAGAACUCUCACAAGAACCCAACCAUGCUUGAUCUUGGACUUCCAAGCCUCCAGAACUGUGUGAAAUAAAUGUCUGUUGUUUAAGCCUCCCAGUCUAUAUUGUUUUGUUAUAGCAGCCCAACCUAAGAUAAUUGUAUUCUAUUAAAAUGUAUUCAUUUGGCCAUUUUCUAUUAGGAGUUUGGUUCAAUAGAAGGUAUUUUAUUAACCAACGGCAUGCACUAUAAAAAGCUGGAAAACUAG